GCCGUUGAUCCCCUAAAUUUAUGCCAAUAUUUCAAAAAAGAGACAAGAAGCCUAUUGGUCAUUUCUAUAUGGAGUUUUGGCUUGUUGACUGUACUGUUACAUAUGAUUGUCACAUCUGCUGUUUUUGAAGGGUUGUUGUAUCCAUCAUACCUAUAUAUCCUAAUUUUCAGAAGGUGCCGAUAUCAAUCCUUUUAAGUGUUGAUUCACCUUUUGUAGUCAGUUUCGCUUGUGAGAGUGUUGAUUUUCGACAAAAUUACAAUUAACUUCAAGGUGUCGCUCAGCAAUUAUGCCUUGUCUAAACUUUUGGAGAUCAAAAGUUAAGAUGAUGACAAAAUAUCGUAAAAUCAGAAAUUAAAAAAGAAAAAAAUAUGUAGUUGGUGCUACAUGCUUUUUAUUACAUGAUUGUAUAAUGUUUCAGUUAAUCAACCUGUCCCAUCGUAUGCUCUUGCAAACCUUUCAAUAUUAACCCUCAGCCUUGUUUGGUUCGAAGAAACUCAAAACUGCAUAUAACAAUAACUCAGAUUAACAAAAAGCUAAAGUAAGAAAUUGUAUACUUCCCUGUAAUAGCGCGUACUCAAACGAAACGUUAUAUUUU
rnacentral:lncRNA from 1 species